CACGUAGGGGACGAGCGUUGUCCGGAUUCAUUGGGCGUAAAGCGCGCGUAGGCGGCUCGGAAAGUCGGGCGUGAAAUGCCGGGGCUCAACCCCCGGGACUGCGUCCGAUACUUCCGAGCUGGAGGUAGGUAGGGGAGAUCGGAAUUCCUGGUGUAGCGGUGGAAUGCGCAGAUAUCAGGAGGAACACCGGUGGCGAAGGCGG
rnacentral:rRNA from 1 species